GUAAACAUAAUUUAAAUAAAAUACUAGAUUGUGAUUCUAGAUAUGAAAGAUAACAUCUUUCUGUUCACC
rnacentral:tRNA from 1 species